UGCAAGUCGACGGCAGCACGGGGGUAACCUUGGUGGCGAGUGGCGAACGGGUGAGUAAUAUAUCGGAACGUGCCCAGUCGUGGGGGAUAACGUAGCGAAAGUUACGCUAAUACCGCAUACGAUCUACGGAUGAAAGCGGGGGAUCGCAAGACCUCGCGCGAUUGGAGCGGCCGAUAUCAGAUUAGGUAGUUGGUGGGGUAAAGGCCUACCAAGGCGACGAUCAGUAGCUGGUCUGAGAGGACGACCAGCCACACUGGGACUGAGACACGGCCCAGACUCCUACGGGAGGCAGCAGUGGGGAAUUUUGGACAAUGGGGGAAACCCUGAUCCAGCAAUGCCGCGUGUGUGAAGAAGGCCUUCGGGUUGUAAAGCACUUUUGUCAGGAACGAAACGGUGGGGGCUAAUACCUCCUGCUAAUGACGGUACCUGAAGAAUAAGCACCGGCUAACUACGUGCCAGCAGCCGCGGUAAUACGUAGGGUGCGAGCGUUAAUCGGAAUUACUGGGCGUAAAGCGUGCGCAGGCGGUUGUGCAAGACAGAUGUGAAAUCCCCGGGCUCAACCUGGGAAUGGCAUUUGUGACUGCACGGCUAGAGUGUGUCAGAGGGGGGUAGAAUUCCACGUGUAGCAGUGAAAUGCGUAGAUAUGUGGAGGAAUACCGAUGGCGAAGGCAGCUCUCUGGGAUAGCACUGACGCUCAUGC
rnacentral:rRNA from 1 species